rnacentral:rRNA from 1 species
GAUGAACGCUGGCGGCGUGCCUAAUACAUGCAAGUCGAGCGAACAGAUGAGGAGCUUGCGCCUCUGACGUUAGCGGCGGACGGGUGAGUAACACGUGGAUAACCUACCUAUAAGACUGGGAUAACUUCGGGAAACCGGAGCUAAUACCGGAGAAUAUAUUGAACCGCAGGGGGCAAUAGUGAGAGACGGUUUUGCUGUCACUUAUAGAUGGAUCCCGGCCGUAUUAGCUGGUUGGUGAGGUUACGGCUUAUGAGGGCGACGAUGCGUAGCCGACGUGAGAGGGUGGUAGGCCGCCUUGGAGCUGGGACGCCGUCCAUGCUCCUACGGGAGGCCGCAGUCGGGAAUCUUCCGCAAUGGGCGGAAGCCUGACGGAGCAGCGCCGCGUGAGUGAUGAAGGUCUUCGGAUCGUAAUACUCUGUUAUUAGGUAAGAACAAAUUUGUACGUAACUAUGCACGUCUUGACGGUACCUAAUCAGAAAGCCCCGGCUAACUACGUG